CCUACGGGAGGCUGCCGUGGGGAAUAUUGGACAAUGGGCGAAAGCCUGAUCCAGCCAUGCCGCGUGUGUGAAGAAGGCCUUCGGGUUGUAAAGCACUUUCAGUGGGGAAGAAAGCCUUGGGGCUAAUACCCUCGAGGAAGGACAUCACCCACAGAAGAAGCACCGGCUAACUCCGUGCCAGCAGCCGCGGUAAUACGGAGGGUGCGAGCGUUAAUCGGAAUUACUGGGCGUAAAGCGCGCGUAGGCGGUCUGAUAAGCCGGUUGUGAAAGCCCCGGGCUCAACCUGGGAACGGCAUCCGGAACUGUCAGGCUAGAGUGCAGGAGAGGAAGGUAGAAUUCCCGGUGUAGCGGUGAAAUGCGUAGAGAUCGGGAGGAAUACCAGUGGCGAAGGCGGCCUUCUGGACUGACACUGACGCUGAGGUGCGAAAGCGUGGGUAGCAAACAGGAUUAGAUACCCCGGUAGUC
rnacentral:rRNA from 1 species